GAGCCGACUCGGGUGGACGGCCUCCCCCGCGCCCAGGCCCGGGAUCUCCGCCGCCCAGUCCUAGGGCUCCGGCGUCUCGGGAGCUACUAUGUUAUGAUAUCUCAAACUAAUAUUUGAGACUCCUUGGCUUGAUAACUAUGAUUCCAUUGAAGAUGACUAUUGAGUUGAAUGGCUCUGUUUUCCAUCAACGAUGACAGCUUUUAAUCACAGAUCUCAAGCCCAUUAUGAACAUUAAUUAAUGUCUGACAUCGCUUAAUGAGAGUCUUGCCCUGUUGCCCAGGCUGGAGUGCCGUGGCUUGAUAUUGGCUGUCUGCAACCUCCGCCUCCCGGGUUCAAGUGAUUCUCCUGCCUCAGCCUCCCAAGUAGCUGGGAUUACAGGUG